GGGGUUGUGGCUCAGUGGUAGAACACUCGUGCGAGGCCCUGGGUUCGAUCCUCAGCACCACA
rnacentral:tRNA from 1 species